CCACCGGCUCCCCCGCGGCCUUCGGCGGCCCGGGUGCGGGCUAGCGAGUGUAAGGCGUCUGCUGUCAGCAGAGAUGGCCUCGCCUCCCCAGCUAGAGGCUGAUUUGGUGGAUGACGAGUUGCCCAUCAGCCGGCAGCGCCCUUGUGGCCCGGAGGGCCAAGGGUGUCCUGAGGCAAGAAUGUAGAAGGUUUAGGGAGGUGAUGCUGUCCGUCUGCUCGGCCCUCGUGAGGCCGCAUCUAGAGUGCUGGGUCCAGUUCUGGCCUCCUCCGUAAAAGAGAGACAAGGAGCUACAGGAAGAGGUCAUAAACAGUGGCAACAGUGGCUAUAAACAUUAGAAAUUUUACUUCAACAUAAGGAAGAAUUUAUUUUAAAUUGAACGUGGCAGAACGCUGGAACAGGCUGUGCAGAAGAUGAAGGGCUUCCCUCUCUGGAGAUACUCCAAACCCACAGGGAUGUGUUCCUACGUAAUCUGCUGAUAGAAACUUGAACAAAGGUAAAGAAUGGAGCUGAUGUUUUCCAAGCAGCAUAUGAACAGUGAUCAGUGCACAGCCAUGCUGACAGAAUUUGAAUUACACUUCUGUAUAACAAUCAAUUCCUGUGGAUCUGACUGCUGGACAAGGGGCACAGACUGUAAAUGCUAAGAUAAAGGGAGUCACCUGUCUCAGUUCUGACAUGUAUACCUGUAUAAAUCUGUACCAUGGAUGCUGGGGAGGGAACUAAAACUCUCAGAUAACUUGGGAAUUCAAUGGAAGUCCAAGAAGAAACCUUCUUGUUAUCCAUUUAUGUAUUUUUAAAGAAAGAGUAAAAAUUGACAGCAAUUUUGUGCAAUUUCAUUCACAAACAGUUAUUCUUGAAAGUUUAACCAAAAAGAGUUAAUGCUUAAAAGAACCAUUUUCAGUGGAAAAACAUUACUCAAUCCUCUGCUGUUCUUGUAAAUGUAAUUGUUAGUCUGUAUGUAAGAUCUCUGUUGGUUGUAAUUCUGGGACAAUAUUACUUCUCCUAGCUUUAGUUUUCCUGUUUCAUGCUGUGUAUGAACUAGUACUUAUUUCUUAGCACAUAAGAAUUAGUUUUGGUCAGCUGAAGAGUAGGUUGCAGUUGAGUUUUAGACCUCUGAACUGGCACAAUAGGCAGCUGUGUUUUCAGAGGUAAGUUGGGAAGGCAAAAGGCCUUGAAAGAGAGGGAUUGAAAUAAAAUGUACUCUUAGGGCCUAAAAAGGCUCAUGACUGGAGAUGAAUGACAUGUUUCUCUUUGACUGAACUACUUUACGGUAAAAACAAAGGCAUUAUUUGUAGAGAGAUUUACCUUAGCUCUUUAAAAUUUUAUGACUGCCCAUGCAGUCCU